CCUGACUCCCUGCCACCUGGCCUGACCAGCGCCAACUUCUGCCCUCUGCAGCCUGGACAAGAGUCCAUACAAGCAGGUUUCAACCCGAGGCCAGGAGAGCAGAGGCUGCCAGGAGCCUUACAGCUGGCAAGUGAGCUCUGAGGAGAAGGCAUGGCCCCACCCUUACCCUUCAGUACAGUCUCGCUGACCUCCAGAGAGCUGUGGGCAUCGACCACUGCACCCCACAUAGCAUUUGUAGGAACUUGGGGUCCACAGCCAAGACAAUCUGCAAAUCCCUGUGGCUCUCAUCCUCAGGGCCUCAAGGAUCCAAUAUCGCUGAACUGGCAAGAAUGGUGGCCCUGUGGAGGACCCAGUCCUGACGCUGGCACUUCAGGAGCCUUAUUUGGAAGUGCUACAGCUGGGCCUCACCUACGAAGACUGGGUACCCCUCUGCUGAUCCCCAGCAAAGAGAGGGCUGUAGGACCUCUGGUGUGACCUCCAGAUGCAGCCCAGAAAUUCUGCCUUUGCCCUUGCUUGGAAACACUGGAGUCCCCAAGGACAGGUGAGGCCCAGCUUCAGCACCAAGUGUGACUCUCCAGCAUCCCCAGCCUCCUCUCACUGCGGCAAAGGGAAUGUCAGGGCUUCCUGGACCUCUGGCAGACCUCUGAGAUGGCCUGGACUUCCCCAUGGGUUCCUACAGUUCCUCAUCAUCUACUGGAUGGUUGGGAUCAAUAUGGGAGAGGACUGCCCACAACAUGGACCUGCCAAGCUGCCUGCCUUGGGGCAAGUGGAUGUACUUGACCCGCCCACCAAGGUCUGGACAGGGGGCCCUUCCACACCCCAGGAGCUGAGUGUGCUGAGCCUCCUGGGGAGCUGGGACUCACUGUUCCUCCCUGAGUGAUGUGUCAGCUGGUGGUGUAGGUAAGAGCAGAGCAGAGCAGGGCCCUCCCCACAGGGCCAGCUGGUGUCCCAGCCACCCAUACUCCUCCCCACCCCCAUCGCUUACCUGUCUGCCCAGAGCCUAGCUGCCCCUACUAACUGCCUGGACUGGUUACAACAAUGCACUGCAAUUGUUUGUUUGUCUCUUUGGAGAAGGAUGUUCAGAAAAACAGAAUGCACUAGGGCUGCGCAGGGAGAUGGCUCCGUCAUGAACAAACGAUGCCUGCAGCAGAGCCUUGUGACUUGAGUUCUAUCUAUGGAGACCCACAUGGUGGAAGGUGAGAACCCACUCCCCCAAGCUGUCCUCGGCCCUCCAUGUGUGCACCAUGGCUCACACGUAAAUACACAUGUGAACAAAUAAUGAAUAAACUUCCAUAGUAAUAACUACAAAA
rnacentral:lncRNA from 1 species